rnacentral:lncRNA from 1 species
ACUAGAACUAUUACUAGAACGCGAUAUCAUACAAUGAGUCAGUUCAUUCAUGAGUCAAUACUUUCUAGAACAUUACAGUACAUUACAAUACUUGCUAGAUAGAGAGCAUGUAUACAACAGCUAGAACAUUACAGUACAUUACUAUACUUGCUAGAUAGAGAGAGAACACACAUUACAGCUAGCACACGUAGAACAUUUCAGUACAUUACAUAUACAUAAAUACGUUGACAAAAUUGUGAUCCACUGUAUCGGAGCAUGCCUUAAAUGUCAUGGCCCGAGUUGUAGCCAGAGUCUCUUGGAGGGAGAGCGUGAGUUUGCGUAUAGAUCUAUACUGGAUUGACUAUCCUACACCUUGCUGCUAGCUACAGCCGGACCUGCAGGUCUGCGGGUGCCAAACGUCAUUCCUUUUUACGACCAUUCAUAUGUCGUUGUUACCAGUCGAUAGUAUGGUGCAAUUAAUCACAUGAUGCCUUAAUAUAAAUCCGGUUUAAGGUAGUUAGUACAGCAGUAGUUCUUAUAGCGCUACGUUUUAGUACUACAUUAAUUUUCCCUGUACAUAUAUUUAGUGAUCUUUUCACUUAAACUAUAAAUGUAAAAACUAUAUUUUGUUAAUGAUAGUUACACUUGGGAAAAUUACACACUUUUACAAGAAACGAACAUUUAGAACAGUUAAGUCUUGGUAGAAGACUACAUUGAGAACAGUUAGGUCUUGGUAGAAGACACCCUUAUAUAAUAGUAGGAAUCAUAGGGAUUUCUAGAGUUUUUCAAACGUUUACAGUUGUUUUACAAACAUUUUCAUACUUACAGUUCAUAUACAUUUUCAAUACUUACAAUUCAUUUACUUACAAAUUCUUACAUACAAAUUAAGACACUAAAUACUUAUGAUCUCACCAGCUUCAAAGCUGAUACUCGCUUUCAAAAUUACUUGUAUCCUCAGGUCAUCAUAGACAGGUACCGAUGCAAGGAGAAAGGAAGAUGGAGCUUGUUCAAGACUCAUCUUUCAUUUUGAUUUAUGCUUUAGUGUUUAUCAAAAUUUGACAGAACACAUUUGUAUAAUAAUUAUAUUAUUAAUGCAAUGGAUGAUGUUGUUGCUUGUUUACUACUUUACAUUGUUGUGAUAUUGUACAUGACGUCCUCCGCCCCAGAACGUUUCCGCCGUUCUUGGUUUUGGGGUGUGACAGAUUGGUAUCAGAGCAUUGUUUAUAGUGAAUUAAGUAUAUCAACCCAUAAAAGAUAUACUAACUAUAAAUACAUAAGGGAUUAAAAAUACUCUGACCAAGAGUUUAUACUUUAAAUAAUAAAAUAUUUAAGUAAGUAUACGUGCUGCAUUCAUACUAAAAUCAGUGUCACUAGGACAGUACAAAAGAAUUACGAUUGUUGGGCAACACAAGUGGGCUUAGAGACAUAUGGUCAAAACUGGGAAGAUAUAGCCUGAUCACCUAUAUUAUCCGAGGGUUGACUAGCAUGUGCCUAAGUUUAAUUGUGUGGUUGCAACAAUGCUAAAAUCUUACCAACCCUACCACAAUGAGAACAAUAGAACAUAACAUUAAAAUUAAAAUACUAUAGGAGUAUUUGGUGUUACUAUAAGUACUUUAUACUUGAGAACUAAAACGGGAUCUUCAUUACUAAGUUGAUAGUUGCUAAGUGGAUACACUAAGGCUAUAUGUAAUUGGGAUGUUAUAGACUUAGAAUCUGUGAAAAUUUUACUUCACCCAUAUUCUAUGUGAAUAUGGAGUUAAGGUCACUUAUUCGAAGCCUAUCCUUUUUCGAUUACAUAUAACUGGUAUGCAAUUCACAAAUAGCGAUGUAACUGAUGAAGAUUUUCUAAAUAAUUAUCUUGAUAGUUCGUCUAAUAAUUAUUUUCUUACCCCAAUUCUCGCAUAGAUAACAUGGCUGGACUCCAUCCCCACGGCAACCAAUAUCUUCCGAACGAAGUCAUAGCUGGUUGGUUUGGAGAAGAACCAGAGAAUGAUCAUCCUAUCCCUUUGAAUGAUCACCAUGAUGAAGAACUUUCGGACGAUGCUAACUCCGAACCCGAGGUUGAGACCCUACCCCAGACAGCUCCAGUUCCAAUUCCUAACCCUCGUCUGGCUUUUCAUGGCCCGACGCCUGAGUGGGUGGAAUGCUUGGAAACAUGGAGCCAAGGACAAGAUCAGCCUAUGCCAUUUAAUGGUGACCGAAGCUUCUACGACUUGAGUAAUGGGGGCUCAACAGACAGAAUUUUGCCAAUCUUGGUCCACAGAGUGGCCCGAAAUGAGAUUCAAGGCAGGACAGCCCUACAUCAGAUUACCGAAGUUGUCGCCGAUGCGAGAAUGCAUACCCUCCGCACCAUUCGUCUAGAAGAUACUCACGAGAGAUCUGAGAGAAACCAUGAAACCCUGCUGUAAGCACUGACUGAAUCACGAUCCGAAGUCAUAGAGCUCCGAGUACGCCAGAGGGUGUACAAAAGACACCUACUCGACGUGGAACGUCAACUGGAUGAACUGAGAGUUCACCAGAGGGAUGACCGUCGCCAGUAGUAGACACUUUACUUUAUUGUCCUUGUUAGAAGGAAUCGUUUUUCUGUCUUUGCCCGAUGUGGCAUUUUCUAUGAAAUUAUCUUGUAUUGUAAGUACUUUUGGUUAGGUCUUUAUGCUGUCAAGAACUAUCUUCUCUGGAUAUGAUGCAAGACCUUUUACAAGGUCAUUUUCCCGAAUCUUUACGUCGUGAAUAUCAAAGAUAUUGAUAGUCGUCUAACUUCCGUGUCCUUCCUUAUUCAAGUACUCUCAUCAUACUUUCAUUGGAGUCUAUCUGAAACCUGCUUUAGUCAAGUCAUUGGACUAUAGUAAUUUAGCCUCGGAGACAUUUCCAAGUCUCUUUUAGUGGUUGGAUCCUGUUAUUCACCAACCCACGAUACCUCAGCUUGAACGACAAACGUCUUGAGACCAUUCUACAAACUCACUUCCAUUUCGUACUAGGACUGCUUCAUAGGGAUGUAGGUCAAACUUUCACGAUUAUACCUCCAAUCCGUACUAGGACUGCAUCUUAAGGAUGUAGGUCAACCUUCCGAGAACAUACUCUUACUCUUUGAUUGAGCAAUCGAAGUACAUCUAGGGUCAACCAGAGUCGCUCAUAAAAUCUUUAUCUUUCGUGCUAUCAGAAUCAUGUCGUCAUCAAUAAAUAAUCAACUUCACAUGUACAUCUCUUUCUUCGAGAUCGCCUUUCUAGCGAAGCCGUCAUAUCAGAACACCGAAGUACUUAUGCAUGGAGUACCUCAUAUUUAUUUUCUUUCCAAAGAAAUCCCCGAAGUACCACUCGUGCAGUACAUCAAGUUCAAACCAAGGAUUCAUACAGUCGAUCUAUCACUGAGGAAUGUAUACAUAAGAGUGAUAUAUAAUCAAGGUUCUACAGAUUUAGAAUUGAUGAUUUCGCUUUAACUUCUUUUUCCUCGAAAGGAUGUGAGCUUAAAGAAGAAUCAGUUAUCCGACUACCUUUUUAAUCUUAAUUAUAUACGACUCGUAUACACGAAAUUGUGAUUGUGAAACCAUGUAUGAAUUCUAAUAUGAACUUCAGGACGGAGAACUGCUCAAGAUUACGAGUAAUCACAUCGUCAUGUGAACAAACUUAGAACCCAGUAUGACUCCUGUAAACAGAUUUCCCUACAGCCUAAACACCUACGGAGACACAAGAACAGUGCAGACAACUUAGCAAACCACACAGUGAUAGAAUAAGAAGACUAGGCUUCUCACCCUGGAGACCCCAGUCUUAUUCUUCCAGAGAUCGACGGAUUGCAUCAUAUGUGCCUCGGCUAUUGAGGACUCCAUCAAGAUUUUCCAGUAGAAAUCGUUAUCUCUGCCUCGCAUAGAUGAGUUGGUUGAGAAAACACAAGGAAAGAAUUACUUUUAGAAAUGGAUCUAAGAUCCGAAUAUCACCAGUUCGAGUUUUAGGGAAGGAUGUCUGGAAGACUACCUUCCGAAAUCGAUGCAGACACUUCGAGUCUGUAGUGAUAUCCCUCGGAUAGGACCAAUACGCCCAUAGUUUUCAUGAGCUAAAUGAGUAGGGUACGUCUUUUUUACUUGGAUCAGUUCGUCAUUUCUCCAUGUAAUGACUUACUUAUCUACCCUCGUGGUAAGAAGAAACCCCUGGAAACAUUACCUUAAGAGGAACUUUCACGAAGUUCUCUAAGCAAAAGUUUUGAAAUUGCAGAGUUAGGUUCCUAUGACACACUGUUAGUGAUGUAGGAAUUUUUUAGUACUCUUUCAAUUUGUCAAAACCGUUGAGAAUUUGUCGACACCAGAGACCCCGGCAGUCACUCGCCAAAUUCUAGGUCUUACAGACCUACUAUCAUAGUCCAUCCAGAACCCCACGCAAAUCACAGAAAACCGUACAACCUUGACCCAGCAAGGAGUGGCCCUUGACUGGGAAGUUAAACAAGAAAAGGAAACCUUGGAGAUUCCAAGUGAGAGACCAAGUUUUUUUAGGAAAACUUACUCUGGGAAUGGCUUAAUACGCUUCGUAAAGCAUGGAAAGCUAAAUCCAAGAUAGAUAGGACCUCCGAGAUUCUUACCAGAAUCAGUCCUGUAUCUCGCAGACUAGAUCUACUCCGCGAACUCAGUAACGUACAUUUACUCUUUGCGUCUCGAUCGUUAAACCGUACCUUUCCGUUAGGACUCUUGUAAGUCCAUUCGUCGAGAUCCUCGCCUUCGUAUUAGAACCGUAGUGACCCUCGACCGAGAGGUCAAGCGGACGAAGCAACGCCGUCGCCCGUUAGUGAAGGUUUGUUGGUAUGCCAACCGAGGACCCGAUUUCACUUAGCAGAGCGAGAACCAAUCGAUUAGGAAGCUCCCACCUCAUGACUCGAUCAUUCGUACCUACUUCNCAUGCCUGGAACAUGUCUUAGGGAUUAUUCAUCAUUGUAAACAAAACUCAGAUGACGACAAAAAGUACUUCGAUGAUAUGAUUCAGUGGUACAUUCGCUUCAGACAGACAAUCCUCGCUCCUAUCCCUCGUCUGUUUGAUACCACUAAGAAGGUUCCGGCAGCUGGACCCAGCAAGAAGAAGUGAUAGUCUCGCUCCAAUUGACGCAAAGGGGGGGAUUGUUAGGUCCAGUUAGUGUUGCGUCUUUGGGCUCGUUAGAUAGUCCAGUUUUAUCUCCGGUAUGGGCCUGUCCAUCCAUGAGUUCUUUGUAGGGUUUAUUAUUUAUAGAUGCUUGCAUGCAUUCUAGAAUGUAGGAUUUGAUAGAGAUUUUUAUCAGCGUUUACGUUCUUAUCUUUUGUAACCCUAGAAUCCUCUACAGCGGAAGUUCUUCAUCGAGCUCUGCUGAGGAUUGAGUUAAUAAAAUCAUUCGACUCAUUCAGAUCUAUUCUUGUGUUUUUGUCUUACUAUUUUUACUUUCUUGAUUUGCCUGUUAUAAGAUCUAAUCGAUCAAGAGUUUUAUAAACUCAUCAAUUGGUAUCAGAGCAGGAGGCUGUGUAAUUCAUACACAUCUCUUCUGUGAAAGAAGUGAUUAGGGUUUAUUCCGCAUUAACUGAUAUUUAUUGAGUCGUCACUCCAUAAUUGACGUAUCUCAGUAUUUAUUCGUUUUGCCCUAAUAUUGCAUAUUACAAGUCUGAUCUUUCAAACAGGUUAAACGAUCUAGCAUGGACGAUUCUCAAACUAAUCCUAUCAACAUCUCUAACAGUAUUGGAUCAACGACGAAGAUUCCUAUUCUUUACAACCAAGAUUACGAAGUUUGGGCUCAUCAUUUUGAAGACUAUGUCAUCGGAUCUGAAGAUAAUGGGUAUCUUAUAUGGGAAGCUAUUGUGUCUGGACCAUUUGCUCACUCAGGAACAUCCAGAAUCAUUAAAACUCAGAAAGAGUAUAAUGAUCUGUUAAAAGAUGUAAAAGACGUUGCUCAAGACGAAAAGGAGAAGUUUCAGUGCAAUAUCAAAGCAUUAAGACUGAUCUGAUUCGCUCUUCAAUCUGAAACGUUUAGGUUGGUGAGUUCCUGCAGUACCGCUAAAUAAAUCUGGGAUCGGCUGCGAGAGCUAUAUUCUACAGAUGAAGAUUUGGAGCACUCUAUUCAGACCUUGCUUUUGUCUGAGUUUGGAGAAUUUAAGCAAAAUUUCGAUGACUCCGUCACUCAGACGUUUGACCGAUUCAAUCAUCUUCUUAGCAAAAUGAUCAAACAUGAUAUCGAAAGGAAGUUGAUUGAACAAAAGGUCACCUUUCUGAAUGGCUUAAGAUCCGAAUGGAGAGCUAUUGUGUCUACAGUUAAAGCUCACGAGCAGUUCAAGUCAUAUUCGCUGGCGAAACUGGUGGGAAUUCUGAAAUCCCAAGAAAAGAUAGUGAUGCAAGAGAAGAAUGUGGUCUCAAACUUGGGGUCCUUGGCCCUCCUGUCCAAAAGCAAGAAUGUAGUAGAAGAUGAAGAUCUGAACCUGGAGGACUACGAUCUUACUUCAGAAGAUUAUGCUAUGAUGGUGUCCAAUCCAAAAAGGUUCAUCAAGAAGAGGUUUCCUACCAAUAAGAACCGAAAUUGGCAGGGAAGCUACAGUUCAGAAAAAGUAAGGGAGGAGCCGAAGACUGAGGAACCAAAGAAAGAGGCGAAGGUUGAAGGAGAUUCUGGUGUCAGCUGCUAUUACUGUGGAGGAAAGAAUCAUUAUGCCAAAGAUUGUGUUCUGAAGAAAAUGGCAGAGAAAGAUGAGGAGAAAGAUGAAGAGGCAAUCUUGAUGAAAAAGCUGGAAGAGAUUAAGAGGAAGAAAGCUGCUACUAAUCCUUCUAUGAAUGCUCUUAUUGUACAGGGUUCGGCAGAGGAUGACGAGUUCGGUGGCGUACAGGUGUGGUCGACCGACUCAGAAGAUGAUGAGGUGAGAAAGCCUUCUCAUGGAAAAGCGUAUGUAGCAAGAGGUGGUGAAAGCAGUGGAAAGUGUCUGAUGGUGACUGACGUAUCUCACAUGAGGGGAUACAAUACAGAUGGUGGAAAUGAGGACACCAAGGAGCGAGAGGACUUAUGCUUCACAGCAAAACCUCUCAGUGUGCAGAUCAAUGAACUUGAUGAAUUGAUCAAGAAGGUACAAUCUCUUUUUAUCUCGUUCAAAGUUCCACAAAAAUCAUAUGAAAAGGAAUUAAAUAACUUAAAUUCAAGAAUCUCAAAUCUGGAUAGUUGUUUAACUCAAACACGGGUCACCAAUUCUAACCUAACUGACCAAAUAAGCAGGGUGUCAUCCAAGAGUGAGGAGCGAAGGAUGUGGAUUGAGCAAAAGGAGUCGGAGCUGAUUAAGUCUAAGGAUGAAAACAUUUAUUUACAAAGAGACAAUUUGAAACUUUUAAAACAAAGAAAUGUUUUUUGUUUGAUUGCUAAAAGACUUUAUGCUAACAUUACUCAACUGCAUUUGAAUUGUGAAAUAGGGUAGAAAAUACAUCGCAUGAUUUUACCCUUCCUUGAGUUUAAGGAGGAUGAAAUCGAUGCUGAAGCAUACAACUGUGAAAGUGUUGUAUCGUCUGAUGAUGUGAAUCCUACUUAUAUGUAUGGUCUGGACAAAAUAGAAUCUUUUAUAAAGUCCAAAGACCAUAAGGACAUGCUGAAAAAUCUUUUGGAUGAAAACGAUAAGCUGAAACUAAGGACCGAAACCAUACAAAAAUUCGACUCAUUGAGUGCCAAUUUAAGUUCAGAAAAUAAAAUUGAUGUUGAAAAUGCAUCUGAACUUAAUGAGGACGAUGAUAUGAGUGAAAUUUCUAUAGAGGAUGACGUCGACUGUUCUAAGUUUGUCAAGAGCGAACCCGAAAACCACAAAAAUCUAAUUUCUAAAAAUUCUGUGGAGUUUGCUCGUUUGUCCCAAAAUAAGUCCCCGAUUCUUCAAGAAAAAGCUCUUGUGUUUCAGAAGGUUACAACUACUCCAAAUCAGGUGUAUAAAGUCACAGGAGUAACCGAGCAUCAAACAGCCGAACUCACUGUCAUAGUGAACGAAGAUAACACAGAUAGAUGUGAUGAGUUCUUCUGGUCUGCUCCUAUAGAUAAUGCUGACGAAACAGUUGGUUUGUCAGAGAGAACGUCCUGGAAAACAAAAGGAAGAUAUGUACCAGAGCCGCUAAAUAAGCCUGACAACUUUGACGUGCCAAGCACUAGUGGCACAAAAGAAAUACCUGCAGAAGAAGUCACUUCCACAAGCGAAACAUCAUCUGUGAAAAGUGAACCGGCUGACAAGAAGCUGAAACAAAAGGCUAACAUCCACAGACAGUUGAAACNAAUCAAAAGCAGCAAAGAAACCUAAGAUACAAAAAGAAUCUCUCUGAGCGAAAGCAGUUUUGGCGCUCUCAUAACACUCAUUUCUCUUAUCAUGAUAGAAAUUCAAAGUCAGAGAAAAAGGCUUUCGGGCCACAUGAGGAACAGAACCGAAAGGUUAGGUUCGGUCAUGAGAGCAACAGCAACCGAAAGGAUAGGUUCGGUUCAGAAAGCAACAACAACCAAAAAGAAAGGUUCGGUCCCGAAAGCAACAGCUACCGAACGUCCAGGUUCGGUCCCUCCAAUGACCAUAAACAAAAGGGUCAUUUCGAACCACAAGUCAGAAGAAAUUCCCAUUCUAAUUCUUCUUAUUCUCAAUUCUCUUCUAAACCCAAUUCCGUUCCUGCACAGAAUUCAAAAUCAUCAACGAACUUGAAAGGAAAAUCGAAGAUUUCCUCAGUCCAGGAAAACCGAAAGCAGUCUAAAGCCCAAACACCAAAACCUGAAACCAAACCAAUUGUUGCUAACCCUAACAAAAUCAAAGUGUUUACCAUUAAAAGAAAAGAUGAAACAACAUUAAUAAAAAGAACAUAUCUUGUUGAUGUUUCUCUUACUAUUCCUGUUCCUGUGAAAGGCUCACGUGGACCCAAGAAACUUUGGGUUCCUAAAUCUGCUUAAUUUUUGCAGGUUAUAAGUGACGAGCAGUUCGACGAAGAAUGGUACAUUGACAGUGGCUGCUCACGUCACAUGACAGGAAGGAAGGAAGAGCUAAGGGAGUUUCGAUCUCUUCAAAAUGGUGGAAAUGUCAAGUUCGGCAACAAUUCUUAUGGAACGAUAAAGGGUUAUGGGAUGAUAACCAAUGGAGACUUCACAAUAAGAAAGGUGGCAUACGUUGAAGGGCUACAGCAUAAUCUCAUCAGUGUGUCUCAACUGGUAGGAGGUACCGGUCUCAAAGUUUCAUUUGACGAUGAAGGUUCAGAAAUCAUAGAGAAGAAAUCAAAAAGGGUGAUUCUCAAAUCAGAACGCAAAGGCGAAAUGUUUCCUCUCAAUCUCAAACCAAUCAAAGGAAAUCCAGCUAUAUGUCUUUUAUCCAAAGCUCAUUCUGACGAAAGCUGGUUGUGGCACCGAAGGCUCUCACAUCUCAACUUCAAAGACAUCAACAAGCUUGUCACAGGAGGUCAUGUUCGGGGUCUCCCAUUGCUCAAGUUUGAUCGAGAACAUUUGUGUGCUGCGUGUGAAAUGGGGAAGCAAAGUCGUCAAAGUCACCCAUCCAUUAUAAACACAAAAGUUGUUGAACCACUUGAGUUGCUUCACAUUGACUUGUGUGGUCCAUCAUCAAUCGAAAGCAUUGGCGGUAGCAAGUAUAUUCUUGUUAUUGUUGAUGAUUUCUCACGUUUUACAUGGGUGUUCUUUCUGAAGCACAAAUCUGAGGCUACUCUUAAGCUAAAGAUGUUUAUUAAGCAGGUUGAAGUGCAACUGAGAAAAGUCGUUCGCAACAUCAGGAGCGACAAUGGACUGGAGUUCAAGAACAAAGAAUUUGAAGACUUUUUGGCAGAAAAAGGAACCAGUCACAACUUCUCAGCCCCCUACACGCCUCAACAGAACGGAAUUGUCGAAAGACGAAACCGAUCCUUGUGUGAGGCGGCCCGAACGAUGCUAAGUUUCGCUUCUCUUCCUUUAUAUUUCUGGGCUGAUGCUAUUGCUGCAGCAUGUUUUACGCAGAACAGGUCUUAUCUCAACAAGCGUUUCUCUCUUACUCCUUAUGAGAUCAUCAAUAACAGGAAGCCGAACGUAAAAUUCUUCCAUGUAUUCGGCUCACGAUGCUUCAUCUUCAACUCCAAAGAACAUCGUAACAAGUUUGACGUUAAAGCUGAUGAAGGAAUUUUUCUGGGAUAUUCUCUUACUUCAAAAGCUUAUCGGGUCUUAAAUAAGCGCUCUAGGAAGAUCGAAGAAACAUAUUAUGUGACUUUCGAUGAUAACUACGUCAAGAAGCUAAAGGCUACUGAAGAAGCAAUUGGAGAGAUUUUCUCUCAAACAGGUCAAGUCACGGCCUCGAUUGCUAAUCUGUUCGAUCAGUUUGUGGAAUUAUUCGAUGAACCUGAGAAAGCUACUCUCUCGGAAGCCAAGGCAGCAGACAACAAAGUCGACCAUCUGAAGCAAAUUGUCGAAGAUGCCGCCAAACGAAUGGGUGAAGGAGAACAAGUUCCAAACGAACCUCCUCAGCAAGGCGCUUCAGUUGAGGGGGAGUAUCCACUUUCUUCAAAACAACCGAGCUCACAAUUUGAGGGGGAGAAUUCUAUUCCUGUAGCAUCCGAAAGCUCAACAGCACCCGAAAGCUCAACAGCACCCGAAAGCUCAACAACACCCGAAAGUCCUGUAGCACCAGAAAGUCCAGCUACACCUGAAAGCUCAUCAGUCGAGGGGGAGAACUCCGAUAUGUUCUACGAUGACGAUAGUCAAUCUGAAUUGGAAGAAAUGGUGAAUGCUGAAUUGGAUCCAUCCUAUGAUCCAAAUUACCCUCCUCUUGUUAAAUGGACCAGAGAUCAUCCUGUAUCCCAGGUAGUGGGUAAUGUCUCUGAAAAGGUCCUGACCCGAUCUCAACUGAAGGCAAAGCAAACAUCUCUAUUCUCCAAAGUAGAGUUCUGCAUGUAUAAUUCUUUCGUCUCAAAAGUUGAACCGAAGACAGUUAAUACUGCUCUUGAUCACUCUGACUGGGUUCAAGCUAUGCAAGAUGAACUCAACGAGUUCGAAAGAAAUAAGGUUUGGCGCCUCAUUCCAACUCCUAAAGAUGCCUCAGUUGUUGGUCUCAAAUGGGUAUUCAGAAAUAAAAUGGACAAGGAAGGCAAUGUGAUUCGAAACAAAGCUCGUCUCGUGGUGAAAGGAUACUGCCAGGAAGAAGGAAUUGAUUAUGAGGAAACUUUUGCUCCGGUAGCGAGGCUGGAAUCUGUUCGAAUAUUUCUGGCCUAUGCUGCACACAAGAACUUUGAGGUCUACCAAAUGGACGUGAAAUGCGCCUUUCUGAAUGGAGAACUUGAAGAAACAGUUUACGUGGAGCAACCUCCUGGAUUUGUUAAUGAAAAGUACCCCAAUCACUGUUAUAUUCUGGACAAGGCAGUUUACGGUCUGAAACAAGCACCUAGGGCAUGGUAUGAAACGCUAACCAAGUUUUUAAAGAUGUCAAAAUUCAAACAAGGUUCGGUUGACCCAACCUUCUUUCGUAAGAAGGAAGGUAACCACCUUAUGAUUGUUCAAAUCUAUGUCGAUGAUAUCAUCUUUGGCUCAACGAAUCCUAGCUUAACAGCUGAAUUCAGAAAGCUGAUGGAGACUAAAUUUGAAAUGAGCUCAAUGGGUCCGAUUAACUUUUUCCUUGGUUUAAAUAUUAGACAGGGACCCGAAGGCAUCUUUAUCAACCAGGAAGCUUACACCAAGACUCUUCUUGCUAAAUUUGGCAUGAUGGGAGACUCAAAGGUUAAAGUUCCAAUGGCAUUCGGCACCAAGCUCACACCAUCCUUGGAAAAACCGGCAGUCGAUAUUACGUUAUACCGCCAGAUGAUUGGUUCCUUAAUGUACCUCACUGCUAGCAGGCCUGAUAUAAUGUUUUCUGUGUGUUAUUGUGCUAGGUUUCAGGCGAAUCCUCGUGAACCACAUAUGCUUGCAGUGAAAAACAUACUCCGGUAUCUGAAACGAACCACCUCCCUCGGUCUAUGGUAUCCAUCAAACUCAGGUUUCUUCGUUCAAGCCUACUCAGAUGCAGACCUUGGAGGAUGUGGUUUAGACAGGAAAAGCACCACUGGAGGCUGCCAAUUCCUAGACGGGAAGUUGGUUAGCUGGCAAUCAAAGAAACAGACAUGUGUUUCUCUGUCUACAGCCGAAGCAGAGUACAUCGCAGCUGCCUCCUGUACAUCUCAAGUGAUUUGGAUCCAAAGCCAGCUCCGUGAUUAUGGACUCAAUAUGAAAAAGAUCCCACUAUAUUGCGAUUCAGAAAGUGCAAUUAGGAUCUGUCAUAACCCAGUGCAACACUCCAAGACCAAGCAUAUUGCACUGAGGUAUCACUUUAUAAAGGAUCAUGUGGAAGAUGGAAACGUCGAAAUUCACAUUGUUCGAACCAAUGAUCAACUGGCCGAUAUCUUCACCAAAACUCUUCCUGAAGCAUCUUUCAAUAAAAUUCUACAAGGGCUAGGAAUGAUGGAAUCGGAGUCAGUACCAAAAAAUACUUCUCAAAAUUAAAAGUCGGAAGCGAAAUGAAUCAAACGUUCGGGUUCGGUUCACAUGUGUGCCGAAAUGAACCAAACGCUCGGGUUCGGUCCUAUUCUCUUAUCUUCGCUUAUCACUCAAAGGUAGUUUCUUUGGCUAUAAACCUUUUGUAUAUUUUUCAAAUUUCAUCUCUCUUAUUUUCAAAGUUUUUUUUACUUUCAAAGUUCUCUUAUUUUCAAGGUUCUUUUCUUUUUCAAAUUUUUUUUUUGCAACCGAAAUAGACCGAACGUUCGGGUUCGGUUCCAAUUUUUUUUUUUGUCUCAUUUUUUUUAAAUAAAAAAUUCCAAAAUCUUUUUCUUUUUUUUUUAAAUCAAAAACUCCAAAAACAUUUUUUUUAUUGUACGUUAAUUUUUUUUGUUUUGUGUUUCAUAUUUUUGUGUGGCUAUUUGUGUGGAAAUUCUUUCAUUAGUUAAGUGUCCCUAGAAGCAUGCUGCUGUAUGUGUCCAAAGCCUCACCCGAUUCAGAAUAAUAGCCAUACUGACUUGGUAUAUACAAACCUUGUCUUCCCGAUUAGGCUUUUAUAUUUAUUCUAAUCAUGAGCUACCUUACUCUCUUCUCACAUGAGAUAAGAGUUUUCUGCUUGGUCCUUAUGUUAAUAGCAGAGGUACUUUGGUCUCUUUACACCAUCUACACUACUUUUCUCCAUCUCAUUCGCUUCAUAAACGUAACCCUUGAGACUCUCAGAUAUUACCACUGAGGUUUAUGGUUACACAACUUUUGUGUUCAUGAUCUUAGCUUCGUACCACUACGUGCUAAGUGAAACCCACAAUUCAAUACUUAUUAUGCAUUGACGGUGAACAAUCAACUUUGCUCUAGCUUUCACUAACGAAUUGACGGGCUUAUCCAUGGGGAUGGAAAGUGAAAUCUCUAAUUUCCUUUUGUGUGAUUCCUAGGAAAUUGUUAAUUCCCAUAACAUUUCUUCCCUUGGAAUCCAGUUUUAAUUUUUUUUUUUGAGAUUUUACAUAAACUAUUUGACAUAGCCACUUAAAUUAUUUCAAACCUACUUGUUCAACAGACUACAUUGGUCUCACAAGUACUUCGUUCGAUUUCUGUCUUAUAUCAAGAUCGGGAAUUCUGAACUGAAGCAAAAGCCACCCAAAUUAGCCUGAUUACAAGAAGCCUUUCAACACUUCUCAAUAAGUGUUUGAUCGUUAUUUAACGGGAAACCACACAAACACUUUAAAGUCUCUCUUGACUUUGAAGGAAGAGAUUCGUGCCCGGGAUCCAUUGUUUCGUGUCUUUACUGACAUCACAAGUUCCCUCAUAUGUGUUGCUUUAUUUCCUUUUCUUUUACACACUAAGCACGAAAAUCUUUUUGAUUUUCCAAAAUUCUGGUUUCAUUAGUUACAAGUUUUUUAAUGGGAUUUGAAGUUAUAAAAGAGUUGUGGCUCAUAUUGAUACACGUAUUCAUUCUGCUUUAAGAUGACGUUCACUCUAAAAGGAUAAGAUGCUGACUCAGGCGGGAGUCCAAUCGAUUUGAUUUUCAAACGGCGCUUGAAUGACAGGCGUGCGAAGUGGAACCGUUUCGUUUAAAACGCCCCCUGAUGGGAAGGCAUGUGAAUUGGGACAAUUUUCUCUCUCCUACAUAAUCAUCGGGGAUACCAACUGUCACGCAUCAAUCACCUCCGAAAAACCCUUCGUAUUUCCUUCGAAGAUUUGGGAACGGAUUCUUCUCUCUCCUUUAGCCACGGUAUAAAAGGUAAUCUUGACCAUUAUUUACCUCUUUACUGCACCCAAAACUCAGAGAGCAAGAAAACCUUUGAGAAUUCUAUUGUUCAUCAUCUCUCCCAACUUCUUCACUUCAAUGGCGGAUUCAUCAUCUGUUCAUGCCACUUCCCACAUCCUGCCGAUUCGUCCUCAACAGAGUAUGAUCAUCGAUCUUACUCCACACGUUUAUGACGCCUUCAUGUUCCCGAUCAUCGAAUGCCUCAAAUACUCACCGCUUGCUCCCGCUCUCACCAAAGCUGAAGCUGUUCCAAUGGAAUUUUUAUCCCAAAUCUUUGCCACUGCUCAUUACGACAAGUCUGUCGAUAGGAUCUUCUUCGACAUUCUUGAUCACAAGGAGUCAAUCUCCAAGCAGCGAUUUUGCUCACUUUUAGGGUUUGAAACUGAUUCAUCUAGGGUUAAACCUGAAUCCAUUCCAGUGGGGCACCUGUUUUCUAUGUUCUACAAUAUGGGAUAUACUGAGGUGCUGACAACGGUCACCAAGUUCAAGAAAUCGUGCAUGCCUCCUCAGUGGAACAGUUUAUUUACUGUGUUGUUCAAGGGGUUAUCUGAACGCAGUGUCGGGUCGGAUGGAGUGAGUCGUCUGUUCAUCACGAUUCUAUAUGGGGUAUACAACGGAAUCAACCUCGACUAUGGGUCGGUCUUAUGGCAGCAACUGAUCCAGAGCCUUGCAUCCACAUCACGACAUUCAGAGAUCUCCUAUGCUCGAUUCUGGACGUUGGUCACAAAAUGGGUGAUAGACAAGUAUCACGUCCCCAUUGUUGCUGGUUCUCCACUAUCUUCGAUUGGUACUUUCCAUACCACGAAGAUCAUAGUCUUCGAUGCAUCAAAAUUUCAGUUCAUUGGCUCCAUCCCUGAGUCGAUGUUUGGAGACGUUCCUGCCGAUAGCCGUAUCAUCCGAACCUACAAGGAGUUUCGUCGCUCUGGUCCUAGAGAGCUCACUCCUGAGAUGAUCAAAUCCAUUCAUGAAGCUGACAAGCCUGCUCCAAGGGGAAAGAAGAAUGAAAAAAGGCAAAUACAAGCAUGUUGGCAAGGGAGCGAAAGGCCCUUCUCCCAAGAAACGUAAAACCACCAAGGCUGCUCCAUCCCCUCCAAUGAAGAAGAGAAAAACCCAACCCAGGCGAAAGCUGAUACUCGCUUCCUCCUCAAGCGAAUCUGAGGAAGACAAUUCAGACUCCGAAGAGUCCCCUCGUGGUCACUCUCCUCCACGAUCGCCUACCCCAGAAGUACAUUUUUCCAGUUCACCUAUCUCUUCUCCACCUGUUACCAUUCCUAUUUCCAUUCCCCCCAUAACCUCCACCACUCAAAUACCACCUACCUCUAUCCCAGUACCCCCUCCCAUUUUUAAAGAAGCUACCACAACAACAGCUGAAGUAAGAACCAACAUAUCUUAUACGGGGGCUCCUACUAAAGCACCCGAACCCACUCCCACUACCGAACCUACUUCACAACCCGNAGCCUCCACCCUCACCUCAGCCAGCAGAGGACGAAGAACCAUUUCUUGGUGGGGAGGACAUGACAUUUGAUUCGGUCUAUUACAGUCCUUAUCAGGUGCAAAGUGAUGACGAUGAUGAUGCUCCCGUCACCAAGAAGCAUCUAAAGGAGCUUCAUGAGAAGAUUGAUUCGCUCAUUGCCUCCUCUUCUUCAUCACAGUCUACCAUUUCUGAAGCUGCCAUUCAGAAGAUUGUUGAUGCUUUUUCCAAAGCUCAUGAAGUUUCUCUGAGCUCAGCUACUGCCGCAAUUGAUGCAUCCACCAAAGCAUGUGCGGCUGCGACCGAAAAAGUCGAAAAACUAUUUACUGAUGUUUCCUCUCUGUUGCAGUCUUUAUAGGAAACUGCCGAAGCCUCUAAAACGAAGCUUGACCCCAUCAUCAAUAAGCUGGCUACCUCAGUUGCCUCUGAGCUGACGUCCUUCGCCACUCUUCGUCAAACUCUCACCGACGACAACUCCGUUUUUAAGGCGACCAUUGAGGAGCGCCUCACCAAGCUUCAUGAAGAUCUAGCUGCUGAGAACUCCCUCAUGGAUGCUCUCGCUAGAAAGACAACUGCUCUUAAGGUCAAGAAUCUUCAACUCUCCAAUUCUCAAAAGGAGAUUGAGUCUCUUCGAUCUGAAAGAGAGGUGAUUUCAUCGUGUGUUUCGGAUGUCCACGCAGCCAUUUCAAACAUCCUUGAAGCACAUGAUCCAAUAUUAAACUAUUCAGUGAGGCGUACUCUCGCGGAAAAGCUUGCUCCUGCUCUUUGUCUCCUGAGCAAACUUGAAGGGCUCCUUGAAUUCGUGUCCAUUCCGAAACAAGGGGGAGAGAAUGUAUCUCAACCGCCUCCCACUUCUACAACAACAAAAACAACCGAACCUCCGCCAACAGGCCAAGCCUCAGGUUCGGGUGUAAAAUACAAAGGGAAACAAAUUGCUGAAGAUAGUGACGACGACAAAGAGACGAUUGCUGAUCUCUUGAAAAAGCAAGGUCGAGAUAAGGAUGCUGAUAUCAACGCUCGGGUUGCUAGAGAGGCUGAAGAAGCUGAAAGUAAGAUGAAAGAGGCUCACGACCUUCUUCAGAGUAGGAAAAANAGUAGGAAAACCCUUUUUCCUCCUUGGACUCUUGAGAAGUUGCUGAAAAGAAGCAAUUGAAACCCCAAGCAUCUUGUGGCUCGAACCAGUGAUCUCUCUAGAUUGCAUUAAUUCUGUCGAUUCUCAGUUCGACAUGCCACUGACCCGAAAGGCCUUCAUCUUCCAUGCCUUUGACAACGUUGCAGAUAUCUCUCAUCCUCAUCCUAAAGUUGACAGGGAUUUGGUCGAAUUCUAUCUGAGGGCCGCUCAACCACAGUAUCAAACAUGAAGCGCUUAGAAGAUAAGCAAUGUUCGGGUCCUCAAGCCGUAUCGGGAAGGAAAUUUCACGAACGUUCGGUUUAAGGUACUGAGAGGUUCUGCCAAGACUGAACAUGCCAUUUCGCUAGCUGAUCUUCCCAAUUUGAAUCCACAUGAUUAGAUAAUUUUGCACAACAUCCUUCUUACAAAUGAAUCAGAAUAUGGUCCGAUCAUUGACCACUUCAUGAGGAUGCUUGACUGCUACAUCAUGGAAGUUGCCAAGAUGGAUCAGGAGAUAGCUAGUGUCUUCAAGAAAAAGCCUACUAUUUCUCUUGUUGGCUCAGCAAGUGAUCUGAACAUGAUGCAGAUGGGGAAGAUAGACCCGAAGAGAAACUCUGUUAUCUUUACCAGAAACGAAGGCCAAAAAUGCUUGUUCGCUUUGGCAGACAAACAUCUCUACACCACUGCAUGCCUGGAACAUGUCUUAGGGAUUUCGUUGCAAGCAAAAAUCAGCUGACGACAAGAAGUACUUUGAUGAUAUGAUUCAGUGGUACAUUCGCUUCAGACAGACAAUCCUCGCUCUUAUCCCUCGUCUGUUUGAUACCACUAAGAAUGUUCUGGCAGCUGGACCCAGCAAGAAGUGAUAGUCUCGCUCCAAUUGACGCAAAGGGGGAGAUUGUUAGGUCUAGUUAGUGUUGCGUCUUUGGGCUCGUUAGAUAGUCCAGUUUUGUCUCCGGUAUGGGCCUGACCAUCCGUGAGUUCUUUGUAGGGUUUAUUAUUUAUAGAUGCUUGCAUGCAUUCUAGAACGUAGGAUUUGAUAGAGAUUUUUAUAAGCGUUUACGUUCUUAUUUUUUGUAACCCUAGAAUCCUCUACAGCGGAAGUUCUUCAUCGAGCUCUGCUGAGGAUUGAGUUAAUCAAAUCAUUCAACUCAUUCAGAUCUAUUCUUGUGUUUUUGUCUUACUGUUUUUACUUUCUUGAUUUGCCUGUUAUAAGAUCUAAUCGAUCAAGAGUUUUAUAAACUCAUCAACUGUUAUUCCAAUACUCUAGGAUAUUAGAGUUCAUUCCGGGAAUAAAAAUAUUUUCUGCCAAAAAUCCCAGGACUAUAUAUAGAAAUCUGAACCAUAUUCAUUCAUUAGUUACAUUUCCAACUAGAGAAAAGUCGAAUUCUCUCUCACGGAUCUUCGGUUUUUUAUCCCAAAUCAUGAGUACUUCUAUCUAGUUGUAUUAUAUAGCUUAGAUUGUGUUUUAUAACAUCAAAAUCGGAUCAAAACACCAAGAUUCGAGAGUUUACCGCCCAAGAACACUUGGAGAGUAAACUCCUUUUUAAGGGCCAAAAGUGUGCCCAAUGUCCCUCAAAGCCUUGGGAAUGAACCUAGAAGCUGCCAUUACAUAUUUAGACCACAAAAUCACUUAGAAACAAAGGGUGAAAGUGAGUUCAUGGCCAAGGAAGUUCUUGGGCCGUGAACUCCAUUUUUAUGUGCCAAAAUGCCUUAAAAACCUUCCUUAAGUCAAGAGAAUAAUUUAGACAUGUACCCUAAAGUGUUUAUAGCCUAGAAAACAUAAGGAAUCACAAGGAUAAAGGAGUUUACGGCCAAGACAAGUUCUUGGGCCGUAAACCCCUAUAAACAUAAGUGUCUUAUUUCUCUCAUUAUAGUCUAUCCAAGUGCAUGAUGCCAUGCAACCCAAAUGGACCAUGCCGGGUCGGGUCAAGUCUUACCAAUUAUAGUUAUGGACUUAGACAUUAAUCCAACAGUCUCCCACUUGGAUAAGUCUAAAACUAUUAUUGCGUAUGACUUCAGGAACCAACUGGCAAUCGUAGCUCUCAAAAGCUUCUGUCGAACUCUGACCUUGUAGAUGAACUCUGACCUUUGUCAAUGACUUGUCCAUUAGAUAAGGGAUCAUAUAUUCCUCCAUUCUAGAUAUCAUAUGGACUGAGACAUGGAUUAUAAUCAUUCUCUCUGUCCAUUUGUUGUUUCCCGAUUUCCGAUUUAUGACGACUGACUAAUUGAACAAAUCAAAUCAGUCCUGGCCCGGCCGAGCACUUCCAUUUGUCAUCAUCAAAUCAUCGAGGGGCCCACAGAUAUCGCUUUUAUCCCGAAGGUAAAAGGAAUGGAUAAACUUCGACUCAUAUGGCUUGUUCUACUACUUGUUGAAUCAUACACAAAGGCACGUUUUAUAGCACCGAGUUACCAAAUGCGUUUUCGUGCAAUCAAUGUACUAUCAACUCAUAGUAACAACUCAUAUCUCUAGGUUUGAAGAAUAUAAGAUAUUAUCGUCUCAUGAUCACUCGUGAUAAAAUCCAUGAAGUGAUUCCAAUGAGCGCGGGUUGAAUCCAAUACUCAGAACUUAUGAGCACUCAUGAGUGUUGUAGCCCUUUGUCCAACACCUUAGACCUCUACAAGCCAACCCAUGACAGUCUUAAUUCAUAUCUACUUCCAACAUAUGACCGACUGUGGAUGGUUUGAAUAACUUAGUCAUUCCGGAAGAAUAACCUAGUUUAUUCGGGAAGUCAAAACAUGCAAAGUGAAACACAAUAAUAAUUGAAUCCAAUAUGGUAUCAACCCUUUGAACAUAAAUAAAACACCUUUUAUUUAUCACCAUAUGAUUACACAUUAUUCAUUGUAUACUGUUUCAGCUAUCAACUUUAUUCUUGAAUUUAAAACAAUAGUUGUCCCAUGCUCCAAGCAUGUACACUAUGUUUUCUUAAACACUAGUCAUGCCACACACCAAGUAUGCAUACUAUGUUUGUCUAUGAUCUUUACUUUGUGAACUAGAUCAAUUGAACAUAACUUCAAUGAUUCUCUUUUCACACUCCCAAAUCCUUACUGCAAAUGCAAGAAUUCCAAAUUCAUGCCAUUUACUGAAAUCUGUUAGAUUCUAAACUUAUAUGCAUUGAUCCUCUUGUAAUGAUUAUGCACAAAGUCAUAAAGACUUGACAACAAUCAUUACAGAGUAUUCCAAAGGAGAUCAACUCCUUGGAAAUAUCCUUCUUGCAUUAAGUUUCCUUAAUCUUACACAGAUUGAAAAUUCUAACUUUGAAACAUUUCCAGAUUCCAUUUUGACUAUCACUUCUGAACAAGAGUUGCCUCCUUACAGAUUAUGUCAAUAUGGUCCUUCCAGAAUUAUCACUAUACUUCCAAUUGUCCUUGAGUAACCAAUCUUUGGUAAACCUUAGAUUGUCCUCGACAAUUGUUUAAUCCUUUUAGUCAUAUCCAGUUCUAAACCUUUUCCCUUCUUAAUGCCCCAGGCAUUUGGAAAAUUUUAGAACGGAUGAAUAUAGCACAUGUAAUCGAUCCUAUAUCCGAAGCAUAUGGGACACGAUUCAUGAUGUCUCACAUAAAGACUAAACCAGUCUUUUGCUAUAACAUUUCCAUUUCAAUUUGCCAAGUUCUCAUAAUUCAGAUUAUGAAAAGGGAUGCCGUAAUCAUAAUCGAAUUUUAGAACGCAAAUAAUGGACCCAUAUACAGAAUUUCCUUAUGUUGAGCCAUUCCAACAUGAAAUUCAUAUAUAUCCUUGACUAAAUGAUUAAAACCUCACGAUCUAAGCUUAUAGAUUUGAGAUGAAGCAUAAUUUCCUCUCCCUUAAUUAUAGCAAAACAACUUUUUCCCAAUUGAAACUUUUGUUUUCUAUAAUUAACAUUGCUAACUUGCAAUACUUAUCAUAAUUAUCAUGCUCCCACUAACAUGAUGAUUAUUAGCAUAACACUUAUGCUCCCACUAGCUUUGACAUGUACUCAGAAAUCAGCUGGACAGUCUGAAAUUUAGAUUCAUACACCCUUUCCGUAGAUAGCUCACCUGUGUGUCUAAGCAAUUUCAAGAACCAUGAAAAGGGAUACCGUAAUCAUGGUCUCAAUUGCUUAGGCAUUUGCCAUUUCUCACAAGUCCAUGUUAGUGUGCCGGUUAACCACACGCGCUCCACUAACGACUUUUGAAAAUGCAAAUAACACAAUUGAUAUCUUCGUAAAAUCUACUUAGUGAAAGCGUUUCCUCACCAUCAUUUUCAUGAAUCGGAGAGAAACCUUAUGACACUUAGAUUUAUAUGGUGUAUGAGUUCCUACCCAUAUGAAUUUGUCAAACCAUAAUCACAAGACAAAGAUAAUGACAAAUCCAAAACCAUAUGGAUUGAACUCAAUCUUAACUUCUUGCCACCUGGCAGCUCAAGGGCCUGCCAUUGCUUCCAAGUUGUUAUGCAACAAACUGAGAACUCUAAGAACUCAUAUGCAAAGCCAACUUUAACUGGAAUGGGCACAGAUAUGUCAACACGAUAGGUUAUAAACCUCAAGUCGUGUGCUAGUGAAGAACUUCAGGUUUUAUUCUUGAUUAUUUCUUGAGACUUUCAAGACCUUUAAGACUCCCACUGUCCUCUUGACAUAUAAGACUCCCUUGUCAAACAUCCAAGAGAUAGUGCGGAUUCUAAUCAAGAAAAACACUUUACCCAAUUGGCCUAAGUUGGUCUUUGUUUUAUCCAAAACAUCACAACUUACCAAUUUCAAAUGUACAAGAGUAGAAAACUUUUACUCUUACAUUUGACAAGUGUUUUAAACCUUCUUUAAGACAUGUCACUCAAAUGACAAUCUUGGAGUAUGACUCUAAGACUUGUAUUGGAACGAAGUAUGACUCAUCUUCUUGAUUUAACCAUUUCAACAAUUCAAGUUCCUCUUCUUAGUCAUAAGAAUGCACUAAGAUUUCCUUAGAGAACUAAUUUUGAUAUGGUUUCUUAAUCAUUAAGAUGAUCACAAAACUGAUACUAAAGUACUCUCCCAUCUUUUCAGAUUUGAGAAACUUUUAUCCUUCUGCCUAAUUUGAUUCUUCUUAUUCGCCCUGCCAUACAUUGGAACCUUUUCCAAUGUCUCAGAGUUACACUUAAGCUUGUAAGUAUAAUCAUAUUUACUGAGCUUUAGUAAACUAUGACGAAUAGUCUUAUCAAUCUUUUGUGGUGGACUUAAUCAGUGCACAAGAAUGUGUACUCGAUCCCUUAGUCCUUUACUUGACUCACACAUCCAUGUGGCCGAGUAAUUAGUCUUAAUUUUCCAAAACUUGAAAGUUCUCAUUCAUCAUGCUAUACAACUUGCAUGAUUCCAAGUUCCGGUCCAAUUGAAACUUGGGUGAUGAGAAUCUUUCCUUAUUUGGUAAAUCUAGACAUUACCACAAAUGAAAGAAUCAAUUUCAUAUUUCCACUCUUGCUCUUAAUGGAAUCAUAUAAGCAACAAUUUUUCCUCAAAAGCCAUUGUAAGGAUAUUUUAAAAUAAAUAAAAUCAAAAAAUUUUUCUUUUAUUUUAAAACUUUGCGGAAAAACUUAUCCUUACAAUCCAUAUGAAAACUUGUUGUUAUCUAUUCCUAAGCAAUAUCUCAUAACUCCUAAGAAGUUGCUCAAGAAUCCGAUCUUCAAACUAUGCGAUAGAAAUCCAUCUACGCCAUCAGAUUCAGCAUAUUCUUUCUUUAAGUUUCUUCACUUUUCUUUGAUUCUUAAAACAUCACCAUGUGACCCAGUCACAUCAUGUAUCAGGAAUCUCAGAAUAGAAACUUAACAGAGUUAGAUAGUGGACUUUACCUGAAGUAGAGUCAAACUUAUUGACUUUAACAUCCUUAGGUAAAUUUGGCAGCUUCGCAACCAAUGCCCCUUCCUUUGGCAAUAUAAACAUAUGGACCCUUUGAUAAUGGUACACGGGACUAUCACAGACUUAGCUUUUCUCUUUACCAUUUGGUCAACCGAGUUGACUAUGGCCGAUCCCUUUCCAUUGGGAAGAGAAUGCUUUACUGGAUAUCCAAUGUCAUCAUUGUCAAUGUCCAUAAAGUUUUAGGAAGUUGAUCUUAGCAAAUAGAUAAGAUCAUUAAGGGUCUUGUCAUAGUCUGUUUCAUAGGUGUCCCAAAGGAACUCACUAUGUGACUUAGAAAGUGAUUGAACCACCAACUUUCUCAAGACUUUGACACCCAACUCUCCCGGCUUGUCAAUAUGUGACUACAUCUCCAAGAUGUGAUCACACCUAGACCUUGCCUUGCCAAUAGGGCUUGAGUGACCUUAAACUUUUCAAGAACUUGUGGGUUAGGGAGAAUAAUUGGAGGAGGUGAAAGAAGUAUGAUUUCCAAAGGACAUCAUCUUCAUUUAGGAAACCUUGUUUCACUAGAUUUGGGAAGAUCAUAGGUGUCUAUUACAGACAUCUUUUGGGAGAUAUUCAAGAUAGUUGAUUUAAAGUCCUUAAUAUGACACCCAAUAUGAAAUAUUAAGGCUAGGACCCAACAAACUAUUUUAUAACUUAGAAGAGGUAUGCCGUAAUCCAAGCUAUAAAAUAUUUGAAGGUAGGUGAAUGACGAUUCACCAAUUUCCACCAAGAUAAACGAAAUGUAUUAUUAGGUUUUAAUUGGUUUUGAAACUCCUAGAUCUUUGAGAUUCAUUGAACUGUUCAAAGGCAUGUUUCAAUCUCGAGUGUGCCCUUCAGGUUUUGUGACUGGGAUGCCGAGGAUCACAAAACAAGGUGUGAAGUAACCAUGCAAAUCACUUGGUACCCUUAAUAAAUUACCCCUCAAUCGAUGUGCCGGUUAACCACACACGCUCCAUCGAUACUAUGAUAAAUAUUAAGUCACCCUUUACCUACCUUGUUAAGUCCAAGUUAGUGUGCCGGUUAACCACACACGCUCCACUAACGACUUAGACAAAGUGUAAAGUGUAAUUUCAUGGAUUAGCACCUUAUUCACAUUUUUCCUAAGUAACUAAGAUUGGGUAUUAUUAAGAGUUUAGUUACUUAGUAUUAUCAUUAAUACUUUUAAUGAAGGGAGAAUUCUAGUCCUGUCAAACCCGUUCGGCUAACGACCCUCCACCAGUCAAGCAAGCGGUGGGUGAGAGUGGACACCCAUUAAGUUGCCAUUUUAUAGGCAACAACCUUAUACCCACCUUAUAGACCGGCUUCGUGAAUGAGGCGUACUAGCGGUAAGACUGACUUUACUCUUAUACAUAUAUAUAUUAUUAACUUAUAAUAUUAUAAAGUAUAAGGGUUGAAUUUUAACUUUUAAAAUUCUAAGGGCUAACUUGGAAUUAAAGUAUUCAUAAGUGAAAACUUUACAAAUUCCAAAACUUGAGGGCAAGUUUUGAAACUAUUCAAAACUAAUUAAUUCCAUAACUUAUGUGUUUAAAGUAGUUUUAAUCCAAAAACUCUUCAAGUUCCAUAACUUGAGGACAAGUUAUGGAAGACUUUAAACUAAUAAAAGAAUUAACUUUUCUUUAUUUUAUAACUUAUGGAAUUAAUUAAGGUUACACUUUUUUUUUUUUUAUUUUAUUUUAUUAAAUGAAGAGACUCUUGGUCCUCCAUAACUUGAGGACAAGUUAUGGAGUCAUAAAACCAUUUAAUUAGAACUAGACUCUUCAUUUUUGUAACCUUUGCCAAUUUUUAUGAGUUUUAUGAUUCUUAAAUGUGACUUUUCAUAUAACUUGAGGACAAGUUACAAAAACACAUUUUAGAAUCAAUUCUUAGAUUAAUUUGGAUUAAAACCAACUAUCACAUAAUUUUAUUCAUUAAUCUAAAUUCACUCAUAAAACAAGGUAACACAAAAAACUUUUGGUGAUCCAUAACUUAUUCUUAAGUUAUGGAAUCCUUUAAAACAUUAACACCAAAUUUUGUAACUCCAAAAAAACUUUGAAUCAAUUUUUUUUUUAAAACCUUUUCAUAUCCAUAACUUAUGGAGGUUUCAAAAAAUAAAACUCUUUAGAUCAAACUUUUAAAACUAAUAAAAUAAUCAUAUUAUUUUAUCUUUUAUUAAAUUUGACCUAAUUCAACUCAUAAAGCAAAUUAUUCAAAUUUUACAAAUAAUUAGUUUUUCACAAGAACAAGUAAUUAUCUUAAAAUUUGACAAACUUCAUGUUUUUUUUUUUUUUUUUUUUCAACUUUGAAAAUAAAAUAUUUGCAUCAAUAUAACAGAAAACAACCCGUGGCUCUGAUACCACUGUUGGGUUUUGAGCAUUCUAACACUUCCUAAGUGUACAUGCAACCCUAAAUACCUUGGAUCUAUGUUUUCUCUAUUAUACAUGCAAAUAAGAACUUCCAAGGUAUUAUCCUAAUCUAGCAUACAAAACAAUAACUAUAGCAAGAUAGAAUACAUACCUCUUUGGUGUAGAAAGUCUUCAUGAAGCUUGAGUGCCUAGUGCCCCAAGUGUGACACCUCAAAUGGAAUCACAAUCAUCAAAACACUUAGAAUGACUUGAGAGAAUUCUACACUCAUCAAAAUCGGCUAGCCCUUUCUUCACUAUCUCUAGUGGCCGAUUUUUCCUCAAUAAUAAGAUGCUUAUAUAGUUACACAAUUAGGGUAAACUCUUAAUUGUCAUGGCUUUCCAUUUCCUUGGAUCCAUGGGUACAAAUACACCAUGGAGCAUCCAUGGACCAUCCUAUGGGUUUUAGCCCAACUUGAUUAUCCAUGGAGCAUUAGCCCACUAUACAAGUAUGGAUGAUUUACACAAUCAACCCAUAUAUUUAAUUAGUCUUCUUUUGAUCACUUAAUUAAUCCUAGAUUAAUUCUUGAUCAAUACUAAUUAAAUAAUCUUAUUAUUCUUAUUAUUAAUAUACUAGAACUUAUAAUAUAUUAAUAACCAUAAGUGUCUUAUUUCUCUCAUUAUAGUCUAUCCAAGUGCAUGAUGCCAUGCAACCCAAAUGGACCAUGCCGGGUUGGGUCAAGUCUUACCAAUUAUAUUUAUGGACUUAGACAUUAAUCCAACAACUCCUUACCAUGAGUUUACGACCGUAAACUCAUGGGGAGUGGUCCCAAGGUCGUGAACAUCAAGCAAGGCCAUUUUAAGGCCUUAAACCCACCCAAACACUUGUUUAAGCCUUGAAGCACUUCACCACCUGAGUUGUAAUAAUGUUAGGCUUCAUUUAGUGUCCCUAAAGAGAGUUUACGGCCAGGAGUUUACUCCCCUAGGCCGUAAACUCCAACACAUAUGGUCUUUUGACCAUAAACUCCCAUAAGAGGUCUUACACUCCUUUGUUGCAACCCAUUAGCCUCCUAGCACUUGACCAAAAGUGUUUUCCUCGCAUUAGGAUGUUUUUACAUGUUUAAUUAGUGUUAUAAUCACUAAUUUUUUAUAUACAUAUGUCUUCAUAUGUAAUUAGGACCAUUGUGUGUGUCUAAAGUCUUCACUUGACACCUAGCAGUCCUACCUCUUCAGUUCAUCCGUAUCACCCACAACAGGUGAGUUCAUACCCCUUAAUCAAUGUUUUAACUGUUUUUAAAUGUUUUAUGGGGGGAUACAAGUAGAAUUAUGCUAAUUAUUAUAUCAAUCACAUGUGAUUAAUAAGCAGCAUUCAAAUGAUUGGCUACUCAUUAGCCGUUUUACCAAACAGUUUCCUUCAAAUGUUUUUCAUAAACACUUUAUGUGUUUAAAAACUCCUUAUUACACUGUACAUUUUACUCUGUAUAUUACAUUUCAAACUUAUUUACAAUUGUGUUUCAAACAAAUGUUUCUUUAUACUAAACUGUUUUAUCAAACCCAUGCCUUCAAAUUGUUUUAUAGAUUGACAUCAAGUCGAUCUUUUCUUAAAAUAAUAAUUAUGUUUCAAAUGUCUUACAAAACUUAUUUAUGCUUUUAUAUUAUAAAUUGCAUGCCUCUAUAUGUAUAGUUAUAUAAGAAAUGUUUAAAAGACUUAGGAAGGCUAUCCACCCUAUUUCCUUUUCGCGCUUGAGAUGUGGUCUGGUGGGAUAUCGGGUACUCGUCCGAAGGUCGUUUAAAUAUUAGUUAUAUAUCAUGUGUACAUAUAUAGUCAUAAAGGGUCCUUCCAGUUCAUCCCAUGCCCUUGGGUAGCAAGGGUAUACAUCCAUGUCCAUACGUACCAGUUAGAUUACUAGUAAACUACCAUAUGGGUAGUUUAGGAAGAUACUAGAACUAUUACUAGAACGCGAUAUCAUACAAUGAGUCAGUUCAUUCAUGAGUCAAUACUUUCUAGAACAUUACAGUACAUUACUAUACUUGCUAGAUAGAGAGAGCAUACAUUACAGCUAGAACAUUACAGUACAUUACUAUACAUGCUAGAUAGAGAGAGAACACACAUUACAGCUAGCACACGUAGAACAUUACAGUACAUUACUAUACUAUUACAUGAUCACACUUACAUAAGUACAAUUACAUGAUCACACUUACAUGAGUACGCUUACAUAUACAUAGAACAGACGUCACUAGGUGCUAUAGCACGGAACCAGUUCAGGAUCUAACUAUACUGAUGAAUCACAAUGCAAUUGUGAUAGUUAUAUCGAGUAUACAUGAUCAUAGUAAUGUGGAUGCUCACGGCUUGCAUACAUGCAGUGGUCGUGGGUAGGUCCCAAAAUCCCUUUGAUAGGGGAGCGUAUAGUCUGGGAUCUAGACAUCACAUUAUACCUUAUCCCUCAAAUAAGGCAGUUGAGUACCGAUGUAGUUAUUUAUAUCAAAUACUACAGUACUUGGAAGUAUUACCCUAGAUUUAAGGUAAUAGGUACGGUUGUAGUUCGACACUACACCAUAGUACUAUUUCUUUUCCCAUUACAUUCACUUCGUGAACAUUCAC